GACGAACGCUGGCGGCGUGCCUAAUACAUGCAAGUAGAACGCACAGUUUAUACCGUAGCUUGCUACACCAUAGACUGUGAGUUGCGAACGGGUGAGUAACGCGUAGGUAACCUGCCUGGUAGCGGGGGAUAACUAUUGGAAACGAUAGCUAAUACCGCAUAAUAUUAAUUAUUGCAUGAUAAUUAAUUGAAAGGUGCAAUUGCACCACUACCAGAUGGACCUGCGUUGUAUUAGCUAGUAGGUGAGGUAACGGCUCACCUAGGCGACGAUACAUAGCCGACCUGGGAGGGUGGUCGGCCAACCUGGGAAUGAGACACGGCCCAGACUCCUACGGGAGGCAGCAGUAGGGAAUCUUCGGCAAUAGACGAAAGUCUGACCGAGCAACGCCGCGUGAGUGAAGAAGGUUUUCGGAUCGUAAAGCUCUGUUGUAAGAGAAGAAAGGGUGUGAGAGUGGAAAGUUCACACUGUGACGGUAUCUUACCAGAAAGGGACGGCUAACUACGUG
rnacentral:rRNA from 1 species